rnacentral:rRNA from 1 species
AGCGCGGGCUUCGGCCUGGCGGCGAGUGGCGGACGGGUGAGUAAUGCUUGGGAAUCUGCCUAGUAGUGGGGGAUAACCCGGUGAAAACCGGGCUAAUACCGCAUACGUCCUACGGGAGAAAGCGGGGGAUCGUAAGACCUCGCGCUAUUAGAUGAGCCCAAGUCGGAUUAGCUAGUUGGUAGGGUAAUGGCCUACCAAGGCAACGAUCCGUAGCUGGUCUGAGAGGACGAUCAGCCACACCGGAACUGAGACACGGUCCGGACUCCUACGGGAGGCAGCAGUGGGGAAUAUUGGACAAUGGGGGCAACCCUGAUCCAGCAAUGCCGCGUGUGUGAAGAAGGCCUGCGGGUUGUAAGCACUUUCAGCAGGGAAGAACAGCGUGGGGCUAAUACCCCCGCGUCCUGACGUAACCUGAAGAAGAAGCACCGGCUAACUCCGUGCCAGCAGCCGCGGUAAUACGGAGGGUGCGAGCGUUAAUCGGAAUUACUGGGCGUAAAGCGUACGUAGGUGGCUUGAUAAGUCGGAUGUGAAAGCCCUGGGCUCAACCUGGGAACUGCAUCCGAAACUGUCUGGCUAGAGUAAGGGAGAGGGAAGCGGAACUUCCGGUGUAGCGGUGAAAUGCGUAGAUAUCGGAAGGAACACCAGUGGCGAAGGCGGCUUCCUGGCCCAUUACUGACACUGAGGUACGAAAGCGUGGGGAGCAAACAGGAUUAGAUACCCUGGUAGUCCACGCUGUAAACGAUGAGAACUAGAUGUUGGACGCAUCGGGCG